rnacentral:tRNA from 1 species
ACUUUUAAAGGAUAACAGCUAAUCCAUUGGUCUUAGGAA